UUAAGUUCAGCGGGUAUCCCUACCUGAUCCGAGGUCAACCUGUGGGGGGUUGCUGGCGGGCGUCCCGCCGGUCCCGGAGCGAGAGUCGUACUACGCUUGGAGCCGGACGGGCGCCGCCACUGCGUUUGGGGCGUACCGCGCUGGUACCGCCCAACACCAAGCCGGGCUUGAGGGUUGCAAUGACGCUCGAACAGGCAUGC
rnacentral:misc_RNA from 1 species